GGUUACCUCAGGUCAGAGAAGACUACCCGCUGGACUUAAGCAUAUCACUAAGCGGAGGAAAAGAAACUAACUAGGAUUCCCCCAGUAACUGCGAGUGAAGAGGGAAGAGCUCAUCAUUGGAAUCUGGCGGUGUUGCACCGUCCGAGUUGUAGAURAGGAGUGGUUCGUCUGGACUGCAUGGCGUCCAAGUACAAUAGGCCGUCAGUGGGACAUCAUAGAGGGUGACRAUCCCGUCCUUGAUGCCRAUGUGCRAGUCCAUUACGAURGCCAUCUCAGARAGUCGAGCAGUUUGGGAUUUGCUGCUUAAACAUGRRAVGUAGAUUCCUUCUHAAGCUAAAUACNGGC
rnacentral:rRNA from 1 species